rnacentral:rRNA from 1 species
GAAUAUUGGUCAAUGGGCGAGAGCCUGAUCCAGCCAUGCCGCGUGUGUGAAGAAGGUCUUCGGAUUGUAAAGCACUUUAAGUUGGGAGGAAGGGCAUUAACCUAAUACGUUAGUGUUUUGACGUUACCGACAGAAUAAGCACCGGCUAACUCUGUGCCCGCAGCCGCGGUAAUACAGAGGGUGCAAGCGUUAAUCGGAAUUACUGGGCGUAACGCGCGCGUAGGUGGUUCGUUAAGUUGGAUGUGAAAUCCCCGGGCUCAACCUGGGAACUGCAUUCAAAACUGUCGAGCUAGAGUGUGGUAGAGGGUGGUGGAAUUUCCUGUGUAGCGGUGAAAUGCGUAGAUAUAGGAAGGAACACCAGUGGCGAAGGCGACCACCUGGACUGAUACUGACACUGAGGUGCGAAAGCGCGGGGAGCAAACAGG